AUUUUUCAGCUUUCUGGUAAAACCCUCUAUUUCGGCAUCUAAUAUUGAUCGUUUCUUGUCAUCGUCGUCCGCAUCGUCCUCAUCAUCAUUCAUCACAUGCACGUCGAAUUCUUCCGCGGCGGAUUCGCUUUCUGGGUGAGAACAAAUCUCCAACUCAAACUCAUGUUCCAGAGAUCUGUCCAAUCUCCGGUUAGGAGGUGGCGGCGGUGGAGGAGGUUGGGGAAGAGGAUGCAGGAGAGUUUUGUAUCUGUCGACUGAAACAACGCCCUUCUCCUGAUAGUCCAUCUCGGUAACAUCGCCGAUGGUAGUAACUAUGGGAAAAUUCUGGGCUUUAUUGUUAUCUUCUUCCUCGUCAUCACCAUCAUUAUCCAUACGUGAUGAUACACCUCUCCAGAUUUUAUUGCUGAAUUUAACCUUCUCCUUCUUCCUUACAGACUCGAAGAUCUCGUGUAACAUCUCGGAUGUCUCAUCUUCUUCGUCUUCCUGUUCUUCAUCGAUCCAAUUUUCUUGCCUUCCGGUAACGUCGCUGUUCGCCGACACAAUCUUUUUGUAAGUUUCAACCUUAUUUUCCAACUCCAGCACCUUCUUUUCUCUUCUUAUUAUGAUCUCUUUAAGCUUCUCCAUCUCAUCCUCGUCAUAAAUGCUCUUCUCUUCCAUCAUUCUCUUGUACUGUCUUGCAUUCAUCUCCACCGUUGCCUUGUCCUUCUGGAUCUUAUCAAUCAUCAACAUCGCCUCGUCCGCUGCGCUUGCCGCUGCGUUUCUCUCCUCCUCAAGCGCACGUUCCAGCAUUCUUACUUUCUCUCCAUCUUCGGAACAACCAUCCACAUCGAAUCGUUUGUUGUUCGAAAUAGAGAACCGCCGCGUCACACUUGGCGUCGGACUCGAGUUCUGUCUACCCAAAAAAUGCGAAGAACCGCAUGAUUCGUCUCUUUCCGCAACCCACAUUGAGUCGAAGGGAGGUCGUCUUUUGGCGGCGUUCUGGACGAAUCUUAUAGUCGUCACCGGACCAGAUGCAAGAGGACAUUUAUCUCCACCGGCACUGAACAGUCCAGAGCAGCAAGGGCAGGGGAGGUCAAGGUAGAAGAGAGAAAGGAGUUUGGAGGUGAGGAAGGUGAUGAAAGAACAGAAGAGAACAAGGAAGGUGAUGGUUAAGUCAAGGAAAGCUCCGACGAGAGAGAGGAAUGUCCACGUUUUCGUAUUCCGGCAUCUCAUCGGAAACUGGUGGAAGAAGUGAGAGCGGGGAGGGGGGGGAGAAGAACGUUGGAAUUUUUGACCGUUUUUUUGGAGGCAACAGCAGUAAUGAAUUGUGAGUAGUAGAGCGAUCUGUUUUAAAAACUUGAGGUUUUAUUUAUAUUUUAGCCCUUUUGUUACGGUAGAAUAGUGAAUGACAGUUCGUUUUGGGAAAAUUGCAUCUUGUACGGAAAUUACUAAGGUUUCUU
rnacentral:lncRNA from 1 species